rnacentral:lncRNA from 1 species
UUAAAGAACAGAUUCAUUAGACUCUCUGAUUCCAAUUUUUUUGUUCCCUUCAACAACCCUUUGUUGAUUAUUACCAGGAUUAAGGCAUUGUUCUGGACUUUGGAUACAGCAGAGAACAAAGACAGAGUCCCUGCCUUCAAGGAGCUCGCAUUCUUGUUGGGGACACAGGCAGUGAACACAGAGUGGUACACCAGUGACAGUCCGUCAGGGAAGGUAGAGUAAGGCACAGUAUGUGUGUUCAGUGAGACCUCGCUGAGAAGGUUGCAUUCAGAUGUACGAAAGGAGAAUGGAGGAGCCAUAUCUUUACACCCGCAAAGGUGAGGCAGUGGCAUGAGUGGUGUAUUUGACAAAUAGCAAGAACGUAGGGGAGGGUGAGUGGGGAGACAGAAGAAGGAGCAGAAGUGAGGGGGGUGGAGAGGUCAUAAAAAUGGGGCCUCCUAAUAGAGGCCCUUGUAGGACACAGCAAAGACUUGGGUUGAGAUGAGAAGUCACUGGAAGGUUUUGAACAGAGGAAUGAGAUGAUUUGACUCCCUUCUCCUCACUCCGGCCUCUGAGUCAACAAUAGAUUUUAGGGCCGCAAGGGUAGAAGCAGGGAGACGUGGUGGGCGGCGGGGAGGUUGCAGUUAUCCAAGGUGGUAGCUGGCUGUUGACGUGGUGGUAACCACCAAGGUGUGGAUCCCUGAGAGAGACAACAGCAUUUGCUGGCAUAGUGGAUGUGGGGAAAGAAAGAGAAGGGUCAAGAGAGGUCUAAACCUCUUUGUCUCGAACAGCUGGAGGGACAGUUACCCUUCAUGGCGGUGGGAAGGCUCUAAGAGGAGCAGGCUGGGCCUGGGUGCAGAGCAGGAAUUUGGUUGAGGACAUGCUAAAUCUGAGAGGUCAGUGAAUGUCCAGUAUGGACAUAAAUAGGGUCUGAAUGUAUAUAUAUAUAUAUUUUUUAGAACUUAACACUAACAUGUAAGAGAACUAAAUUCAUGUUCUAGCUGUGUUUCCAUGCAUAUUGUAUAUCUUGCAUGAUUUUUGGUAUGUUCCAUAUCUUUUUGGUGUCUUCAUUUCCUCAUUAGAAAAGUGACAGUAAUAUGGUAGUAAUGUUUU